GUAGGUGAACCUGCGGAAGGAUCAUUACCAAAUAUCCAAUCAACAUUGGUUUAUAACCAAACUAUACACCUGUGAACUGUUACUGUCUCUGACAGUGGCUGCUCUGCGAUCGAGACUGUAUUGUCAUGAUCAAAGAGUUAGUGCUGUCAGAAUAUUUUAACCUGACUUCGAUUGAGCCUGACUUAUCAUUUAAUUGACAAAAUUAAAUACAACUUUUGACAACGGAUCUCUUGGUUCUC
rnacentral:misc_RNA from 1 species